UCAAGUUACUGGAGGAGAUUCUGCGUUUACUGAUUGUCGCUGUUAUUUUAUUAGCAGCCUAGCACUAGUAUACUGCUGGACAUCACCAAACAAAUAAAGUGUGGAAGUUCCCAUUUACAAAAAUCUGUUCAUCACAUUACUGAGCUACUGAAUUAUACUACUAUUUUCUCCUAAGUUUUCCCAUUUACAAAAAUCUGUGCAUCAGAAUACUGAGCAACAAUUAGUGUAUUACAGCAAGGAGGCUACAGAAGUAGUAUUGAAUUCUUUCCUCAUUUUCGCAUGGGAAUUGGUCUUGCAAUGGAGGAAGCAUGCUGAAUGUAAG
rnacentral:misc_RNA from 1 species